rnacentral:rRNA from 1 species
UAAUGUCUGGGAAACUGCCUGAUGGAGGGGGAUAACUACUGGAAACGGUAGCUAAUACCGCAUGACCUCGCAAGAGCAAAGUGGGGGACCUUCGGGCCUCACGCCAUCGGAUGUGCCCAGAUGGGAUUAGCUAGUAGGUGAGGUAAUGGCUCACCUAGGCGACGAUCCCUAGCUGGUCUGAGAGGAUGACCAGCCACACUGGAACUGAGACACGGUCCAGACUCCUACGGGAGGCAGCAGUGGGGAAUAUUGCACAAUGGGCGCAAGCCUGAUGCAGCCAUGCCGCGUGUGUGAAGAAGGCCUUAGGGUUGUAAAGCACUUUCAGCGAGGAGGAAGGGUUCAGUGUUAAUAGCACUGUGCAUUGACGUUACUCGCAGAAGAAGCACCGGCUAACUCCGUGCCAGCAGCCGCGGUAAUACGGAGGGUGCAAGCGUUAAUCGGAAUUACUGGGCGUAAAGCGCACGCAGGCGGUUUGUUAAGUCAGAUGUGAAAUCCCCGAGCUUAACUUGGGAACUGCAUUUGAAACUGGCAAGCUAGAGUCUUGUAGAGGGGGGUAGAAUUCCAGGUGUAGCGGUGAAAUGCGUAUAGAUCUGGAGGAA